CCAUCUACCACAAAAAUACAGCUUUUUUAAAAUCCUAAUAGACAUUGUAUUAAACAGCAAAUCCAGCUUAUUUAAACAUUUACGUAAGUAUUUUCCCUAGAGAAAACAUAAAAAGGGACGAUAAAAAAUGUCAAUUAUUAGAAAAGUUCCGCACCUAAAUUAGAUAAAAUAAAUGAAGGUAUCAUUAGGGAGGUCUUGGAUUAUAAAAAGGGCUGCUCUCGGAGCGCCUCGUUGUCGUAAUUUUUAAACCGCGGGUUUACGAGCUGCAUACGUUACUUUUACUCGCUAGUGUUGUUUGCGUUAAGAAGGUUUAAAUAUCGAUAUUUCAGGUAAAAGAAGG